rnacentral:lncRNA from 1 species
GGAAGGUACUUUCUCCCAAGAGCCUGAAGUAGCCUCUAAAGAGAUCUGCUAAACUCUGUGGUUCUCUCAUAAACCUGGGCUGGCCUUAGCUCAUAGGACUUCUGAAGACACACCUGUACUUUUGGUUCUAAUUCACCUUGACCCACGUAAGCCCACUGGCAUGAGAUGAAUAUCCCAACUCCUGCCAGCGUCCUGAAGGCCUCUGUCCCCCUCUAAGUCCAGGUUUACCAAAGCCUGCUGCACCCUGGAGUUCUCAGUUCUCUGAGCACGGCCCCAUACCUGACUCUAAAUUCACACCACUGCUUCCUCUGCUUUUGUUGCAGGCCACAAUCAGAGGACACUGUUCACUUGCUGAUUCCAAUGCCCUUUGGCCCCUCUAUCCCACAGCCCGGUGAUGUGGCUCCUUCUCCUGCCCUCCACCAGAGCCCCCAUCUCAGCAAGGGCUUUGCUUUCUGUCUCAAAGAGAAACACGGUGCUGAGCGGGGGAAGCUGAGCACAAAAGAGUACACAUAAUACACUCUUAGGAGGUUCUAGAAACAGUGAUAGAAAUCAGAUCAGUGCUGUCUGGGGCCAAGGGACUGAUUGCAAUGGGAUAGGAAGAAACUUUCCAA